rnacentral:piRNA from 1 species
UCCAGAGUGAACAUGUAUAUGAGGAAGUA